UGUCGAAUCGCCUUCUGUAAA
rnacentral:piRNA from 1 species